UCCUAAAACGGAAACAGAAAUGAAGUAACAAAUACACUCACGAAAUCAUCACAGGACAAACAAACAAACUGUCCUGUCACCAAGCUACCUACCUACACUCACGGGCGUAGCUACUGGGGGUCUGACCAGGCCCACCGAAAGGGGUGCAAGGGGCGAUUGCCCCAGGGCCCGCAAGCCCGUAAGUAUCUCUUCUCAAUACAUUUAUUACACUUAUAAAUCAAAAGUAGAUAAAGAAACUUCUUUGUCAUCAUGAUCCAUUAUAAAAACAUUUUCAGUUUACUGCGUUGGUAAGGAAGGGGUCCAAGCAUGAAUCCUUUCCUGGGACCGACGUGGUUCCCGGAAGGCUCCAUGCUUGGAACAACUCCCUUCGAAAGAACAAACUUGGACCCGGACACCCCCCCCCUGAGCACAACAGCUAGCGUCAACCCUGUUUACACUUAAGAAGAAUCUUGAUCCAGUGCAGACCAUUAGUACUGACAGCAGACGGUAUACAAUAGAGCACUUACAGCUCACGAGGAGGAAGGGGACGCAUUAAACACUAAUAACCGAAUAAAGAACUGAAUACGUGUAGCAACCAGGGAUACUUGGGCCCCUUGAAAAAGCAAACAAAAUGCCUCUGGAGCACAACUCGACAACGCUACAAACAAGUGAAACUUUUUGGCUAGACUACCGAAUCAAUUUGAGACAUACCUAUCUUUGUAUAAACAAUAGACCUGGCAAGUA